UCUCCGUAGGUGAAUCUGCGGAGGGAUCAUUACUGAGUGAGGGCUUCGGUCCGACCUCCAACCCUUUUUGAACCAAACUUGUUGCUUCGGGGGCGACCCUGCCGCUUCGGCGGUGCGGCGCACCCGGAGGCCAUUAAACACUGCAUCAUUGCGACGGAGUUAAAGUAAAUUAAACAAAACUUUCAACAACGGAUCUCUUGGUUCCAGCAUCGAUGAAGAACGCAGC
rnacentral:misc_RNA from 1 species